rnacentral:rRNA from 1 species
AUUCGAUUAACGCGAAGAACCUUACCUGGGCUUGACAUGCUGGUGGUAGGCGCCGGAAACGGUGGCCGACCCUUCGGGGAGCCAGCACAGGUGCUGCAUGGCUGUCGUCAGCUCGUGUCGUGAGAUGUUGGGUUAAGUCCCGCAACGAGCGCAACCCCCGCCCUGUGUUGCCAGCAUUCAGUUGGGCACUCUAGCGAGACUGCCGGUGAUAAACCGGAGGAAGGUGGGGAUGACGUCAAAUCAUCAUGCCCCUUAUGAGCUGGGCUACACACGUGCUACAAUGGACGGUACAACGAGUUGCGAGGCCGCAAGGCUUAGCGAAUCUUUAUAAGCCGUUCUCAGUUCGGAUUGCUCUCUGCUACUCGAGAGCAUGAAGCCGGAAUCGCUAGUAAUCGUG